ACUUCCACAUGAAAUAACUGCUAAAAUUGCAGAUGCCAGGUUAGCUUGGUUUAAGCAGUAAUGCUAGCAGAGUAUUGCGUGGGUAUGAGUCGUGGUCGAACCUCUUAAUGUUCGUUGUCGUCUGUCUCGAGGCCCAGUGCAACAAUU